rnacentral:rRNA from 1 species
GGUGAACGCUGGCGGCGUGGAUAAGGCAUGCAAGUCGAAUGGGUUAGACCCAUGGCAGACGGGGUAGUAACAGGUAGGAACGUACCGAAGAGUCGGGCAUAAUCAGUCGAAAGAUUGGAUAAUUCCCGAUGGUCCCUUAGGGGUAAAGAUUUAUCGCUCUUUGAACGGCCUGCUUCGUAUCAGCUUGUUGGUAAGGUAAUGGCUUACCAAGGCUAUGACGCGUAGGGGAGGUGAGAGCCUGACCCCCACCAUUGGGACUGAGACACUGUCCAA